rnacentral:rRNA from 1 species
CACGUAGGCGGAUCGGUAAGUCAGAUGUGAAAUCCCGGAGCUCAACUCCGGAACUGCAUUUGAUACUGCCAGUCUUGAGUGAGGUAGAGGGGGGUGGAAUUCCCGGUGUAGAGGUGAAAUUCGUAGAUAUCGGGAGGAACACCAGAGGCGAAGGCGACCCCCUGGGCCUUUACUGACGCUGAGAUGCGAAAGCGUGGGGAGCAAACA